UGUAGAGUAGCUCAGUUCGUUAGAGCACGAGUCUCAUACGCUCGGGGUCGUGGGUGCAAAUCCCGCCUCUGCAACCA
rnacentral:tRNA from 1 species